rnacentral:rRNA from 1 species
AUUGAACGCUGGCGGCAGGCUUAACACAUGCAAGUCGAGCGAGCGGCGGACGGGUGAGUAAUGUCUGGGAAACUGCCUGAUGGAGGGGGAUAACUACUGGAAACGGUAGCUAAUACCGCAUACCAUCAGAUGUGCCCAGAUGGGAUUAGCUAGUAGGUGGGGUAAUGGCUCACCUAGGCGACGAUCCCUAGCUGGUCUGAGAGGAUGACCAGCCACACUGGAACUGAGACACGGGCCAGACGCCUACGGGAGGCAGCAGUGGGGAAUCUUCCGCAAUGGGCGAAAGCCUGAUGCAGCCAGGCCGCGUGAGUGAAGAAGGCCUUCGGAUUGUAAAGCUCUUUUAGUGGGGAAGCGGUACUUGCACAGGAAGCACCGGCUAACUCCGUGCCAGCAGCCGCGGUAAUAC